rnacentral:rRNA from 1 species
GAUGAACGCUGGCGGCGUGCCUAAUACAUGCAAGUCGAGCGAACGGACGAGAAGCUUGCUUCUCUGAUGUUAGCGGCGGACGGGUGAGUAACACGUGGAUAACCUACCUAUAAGACUGGGAUAACUUCGGGAAACCGGAGCUAAUACCGGAUAAUAUUUUGAACCGCAUGGUUCAAAAGUGAAAGACGGUCUUGCUGUCACUUAUAGAUGGAUCCGCGCUGCAUUAGCUAGUUGGUAAGGUAACGGCUUACCAAGGCAACGAUGCAUAGCCGACCUGAGAGGGUGAUCGGCCACACUGGAACUGAGACACGGUCCAGACUCCUACGGGAGGCAGCAGUAGGGAAUCUUCCGCAAUGGGCGAAAGCCUGACGGAGCAACGCCGCGUGAGUGAUGAAGGUCUUCGGAUCGUAAAACUCUGUUAUUAGGGAAGAACAUAUGUGUAAGUAACUGUGCACAUCUUGACGGUACCUAAUCAGAAAGCCACGGCUAACUACGUGCCAGCAGCCGCGGUAAUACGUAGGUGGCAAGCGUUAUCCGGAAUUAUUGGGCGUAAAGCGCGCGUAGGCGGUUUUUUAAGUCUGAUGUGAAAGCCCACGGCUCAACCGUGGGAGGGUCAUUGGAAACUGGAAAACUUGAGUGCAGAAGAGGAAAGUGGAAUUCCAUGUGUAGCGGUGAAAUGCGCAGAGAUAUGGAGGAACACCAGUGGCGAAGGCGACUUUCUGGUCUGUAACUGACGCUGAUGUGCGAAAGCGUGGGGAUCAAACAGGAUUAGAUACCCUGGUAGUCCACGCCGUAAACGAUGAGUGCUAAGUGUUAGGGGGUUUCCGCCCCUUAGUGCUGCAGCUAACGCAUUAAGCACUCCGCCUGGGGAGUACGACCGCAAGGUUGAAACUCAAAGGAAUUGACGGGGACCCGCACAAGCGGUGGAGCAUGUGGUUUAAUUCGAAGCAACGCGAAGAACCUUACCAAAUCUUGACAUCCUUUGACAACUCUAGAGAUAGAGCCUUCCCCUUCGGGGGACAAAGUGACAGGUGGUGCAUGGUUGUCGUCAGCUCGUGUCGUGAGAUGUUGGGUUAAGUCCCGCAACGAGCGCAACCCUUAAGCUUAGUUGCCAUCAUUAAGUUGGGCACUCUAAGUUGACUGCCGGUGACAAACCGGAGGAAGGUGGGGAUGACGUCAAAUCAUCAUGCCCCUUAUGAUUUGGGCUACACACGUGCUACAAUGGACAAUACAAAGGGCAGCGAAACCGCGAGGUCAAGCAAAUCCCAUAAAGUUGUUCUCAGUUCGGAUUGUAGUCUGCAACUCGACUACAUGAAGCUGGAAUCGCUAGUAAUCGUAGAUCAGCAUGCUACGGUGAAUACGUUCCCGGGUCU